CCCCAAAAAAAUAAAACCAAUAAGAAAAAUUUCGUACCAGGCAAACCGCAAUUUGCUGUCUCAAAUAACAGUGACCAAGAGCUCAAAAUGGUUCUCAUAGUUAGACAAGACUUAAAGAUGAAAUCAGGAAAGAUUGCAUCUCAAUGCGCUCAUGCUGCCACUGGAAUGUAUGUGGAAUUAAUGCAAAGGAAAACCAGAAGACGAAGCAUCCGCAAUUGCUUUAUGAGGCCAAGUUGAAUGGUGUUCUUCAAGGAGGAAAUGGUAUUGCGAAUAUGAAAUGGUGCGAAUAAAAUUCUUGUCCUUGACCUUCUUGGACCAAGUCUUGAAGAUCUCUGUCUACUGUGGGAGGAAGUUUUCCUUGAAAACAGUCUUAAUGUUGGC